rnacentral:rRNA from 1 species
GAUGAACGCUGGCGGCGUGCCUAAUACAUGCAAGUCGAGCGAACAGAUGAGGAGCUUGCUCCUCUGACGUUAGCGGCGGACGGGUGAGUAACACGUGGAUAACCUACCUAUAAGACUGGGAUAACUUAGGGAAACCGGAGCUAAUACCGGAUAAUAUAUUGAACCGCAUGGUUCAAUAGUGAAAGACGGUUUUGCUGUCACUUAUAGAUGGAUCCGCGCCGCAUUAGCUAGUUGGUAAGGUAACGGCUUACCAAGGCGACGAUGCGUAGCCGACCUGAGAGGGUGAUCGGCCACACUGGAACUGAGACACGGUCCAGACUCCUACGGGAGGCAGCAGUAGGGAAUCUUCCGCAAUGGGCGAAAGCCUGACGGAGCAACGCCGCGUGAGUGACGAAGGUCUUCGGAUCGUAAAACUCUGUUAUUAGGGAAGAACAAAUGUGUAAGUAACUAUGCACGUCUUGACGGUACCUAAUCAGAAAGCCACGGCUAACUACGUG